AUGUAAACUCACUGAGUAGGCCCUCAAUCCCUCUGUUACUGUGUCACUAUACCCCACUCCCUCUAACAUGUAAACUCACUGAGCAGGUCCUCAAUCCCUCUGUUACUGUGUCACUAUACCCCACUCCCUCUAACAUGUAAACUCACUGAGCAGGCCCUCAAUCCCUCUGUUACUGUGUCACUAUACCCCACUCCCUCUAACAUGUAAACUCACUGAGCAGGACCCUCAAUCCCUCUGUUACUGUGUCACUAUACCCCACUCCCUCUAACAUGUAAA